UCCUACGGGUGGCAGCAGUAGGGAAUAUUGGUAAUGUGCGAAAGCGCGAACCAGCAACGCCGCGUGUGCGAUGAAGGCCUUCGGGUUGUAAAGCACUUUUUGAGGGGAUGAGGAAGGACAGUACCCUCAGAAUAAGCCUCGGCUAACUACGUGCCAGCAGCCGCGGUAAAACGUAGGAGGCGAGCGUUAUCCGGAUUUACUGGGCGUAAAGCGUGUGUAGGCGGUUUGAUAAGUUGGAUGUGAAAGCUCCUGGCUUAACUGGGAGAGGUCGUUCAAAACUAUCAGACUUGAGAGUGGUAGAGGGAGGUGGAAUUCCGGGUGUAGUGGUGAAAUGCGUAGAUAUCCGGAGGAACACCAGUGGCGAAAGCGGCCUCCUGGCCCAUUUCUGACGCUCAGACACGAAAGCUAAGGUAGCAAACGGGAUUAGAUACCCUUGUAGUC
rnacentral:rRNA from 1 species